CUAGAUUCUAAAGUACUGUCCAGGAAAAUGAUUAAGAGAGUACACGGAAGGACAAUCAAGAACUCUCACCCAGAUUCUAAAGUACUGUCCAGGAAAACGACCGACCAGAGAGUACGGAGGGUCACUUUGAUGCAUAACCACACUCAAUUAGUAAUAUAUAUAUGUCUGAAUGUAUAUGGAACUCCACUCAAUUAGUAAUAUAUUAUGUCUGAAUGUAUAUGGAGAUAGCUAAGUGAGUAGUAUUUAUUUGGCAAGCCUGUGAGUGUGAUUGUAGUAUAUAUGCAGUUUAGGUUAACAUCACAAUACCUCAGGAAAAUAUGUAGUUUGACGCAAGAUCUUGAAAACCAGCAACAAAGGGAUGUUAGUAUAGGGUAGCAAUGACUGUGUAUGUGUGUGUGUGUGUGUGUGUGUGUGUGUGUGUGAGUGAGUGAGUGAUUAAUUGUUUCUCUACUAAGCAAAGGUUUAUUAUAUAUUACGGAGUUACUUACGUGUUAUGCCAGACAGUAUUACAACGGAUAUGCACACGUAAUGACUGGUUGCUGUAAGUGAGGGCGUGUGUAGUGUCUCUCUGUCCAUUGUCACUGUUGCCAGAAAUGUGUUCAGCCUACCACUGCGUAAAACCAGAAAUAAAUUAGUGAAAAAUCAUCAAGAAGGUGAAAAUAAGUACAGAAAUACGUGAGUGUGGAGGCCAAGAGAAGGUGACAGGAAACAGACAGACCGGAACAAGACAGGAAAAACUGUAAUGAUAAAAGAAUGCUUAAUACAGACAAGGUAAUUUUAAGAAAGUAUUUUAAUAUCACCUAUGGACGGAAGUAAGUGAAUAACAGGAAGAGUGGGUAUAUAUAUAGGCAGAAGGGUUUACAGCAUUCCCACUACAAUCAUAUCUUUUAGGAAUGAAGAAUCUGGUGUUAAAAAUGUCUGUCAGUGGCUUUUUACUUGGUUUUGCUUACGAUUUGUCUCCAAUCACACACACACACACACACACACAAGGUGGUAUCAUUAACACUCCAUAAGCCUUGAGUUUUUAUUUCCUGCAAGCAAAUAGUGUAGAAUUUGGUGUUAAGAAUGUCUGUCAGUGGCUUUUUACUUGGUUUUGCUUAUGGUUUGUCCCCAAUCACACACACACAAGGUGAUAUCAUUAACACACUCCAUAAGCCUUGACUUUUUAUUUCCUGCAAGCAAAUAGUGUACACAGAUGGAUGACCAGAGGGGGCGGGCUGCUGGUGCUGCUGCUGCUGGUGGGGCUGUAAGACACUCGCCCCAGGACCAGCCCAAGCCCACCUCACAGCCACCUUACACACACACGGCUCAACCUUCCGUUCUCCAUACCAAGAUCAGUAUGGCUUGUGUAUCAUUAAAAAAAAUAGUCAAAAAAUAUAUCAAUAAGACUCCCUCUCAUAGUCCCAAGGUGAGAGUGUGUGUGGGGAGGCCCGGGCACGGCUGACACUGCUACAUGGAGCCCUUACCCUGCCCGAGACACCCAGCGACGCGAGUGGCAGCUGUGCCCACGCCCUGCCCACACGAGGAACUUGUAAACGUGAAAAACUUGACAAUAAUCAGUCCCGUGCUACACUCCAAUAAAAAAAGCUAAUUUGAUUACUUGACGGGUCGCACUACUACGCCAUUCACUACGUCUUGGCAGGUAAGCUCCGCCCCUUUUCCCCGCUAACUGUGUAUCAUGUCAGACCAGUCCACAAGCCAUGCAUCCUUAGCAACUUGCAUGUGAUCGGUGGAUGCUGGGGAAGGUUAUAUCAAAGGGGUGGCAUAGGUAGGGCUUAUAUGCCAAGGUUAGUGCAUGGGGCAUUGACGGGAGGGUGUGGUGCAUGACGCAGGCUACACCACCCGCUCUGGAGGCAAGCCAAUGACGGCCAUUCUAGGACUACGGACCACUCGAGUGAAGCUUAAGUUUUUCUCUUACCAUAAAAACAGACAUUUCAUCCUUCUGUAUAUAGAGUACACCUUGAUUACUGAUACUGAAGUGUCUGCCUGCUUGCACCGACACCUCCUUUGGUCUAAUAUGUACAGGAGCUACGAAGCUUGGCGGAGGGUCACCACUAUCAACUGGGGUGCCUCCUUGCGACGAGCCUCUCCUCUGGACUCGCCUAACCCGGCAGUAACGAAAUAAUAAAGG